rnacentral:piRNA from 1 species
UAGUAGAAUAUUGUUCAGCCAUUGGAAAG